AUUUAUCAUGAGCUGAACUCAAAGAAUCUAAGACUUUCUCUAUGUACACAAAAGACCUACUUCUCUCAAAUAUUGUUCACAAAUCUGUCUAAAUCUGUGUUACUUCUCCUUUGACGAGAUAAUCCAUCCACCUCACAGGUGUGGCAUAUCAAGAUGCUGAUUAGACAGCAUGAUUAUUGCACAGGAGUCACAUAAUAUGUCGGGGUUGGCUGGCCUUCCCUAAUCACUUUUAUGUUGAGGUUGGCUGGCCUUCCCUAGUCACUUUCAUGUUGAGGUUGGCUGGCCUUCCCUAGUCACUUUCAUGCUGGGGUUGGCUGGCCUUCCCUAGUCACUUUCAUGCUGGGGUUGGCUGGCCUUCCCUAGUCACUUUCAUGCUGGGGUUGGCUGGCCUUCCCUAGUCACUUUCAUGUUGAGGUUGGCUGGCCUUCCCUAGUCACUUUCAUGUUGAGUUUGGCUGGCCUUCCCUAGUCACUUUCAUGCUGGGGUUGGCUGGCCUUCCCUAGUCACUUUCAUGCUGGGGUUGGCUGGCCUUCCCUAGUCACUUUCAUGCUGGGGUUGGCUGGCCUUCCCUAGUCAUCCACAGACUCAGUCCCUGGGAUACUUUCAUUUACAAAGACAUUCUGGGUUUGCUAUGUUCUUAUUUAUGAGUUUUAAUUCUUCCGAAAUGUGGUGGGUACUCGUUGUUAUCCCGAUAACUGUCCCACUUGCCCUCACGGAACUUUGGGGCUUUUAUGGAAUCUGUCCCAUCGGCUUACACAAUAGUUUUGAAUUGGAGGAACUUGGCCCUUUUGGUAUUUUUAGAUCAUUGAU
ensembl:lncRNA